rnacentral:rRNA from 1 species
UACGGAGGAUCCAAGCGUUAUCCGGAUUUAUUGGGUUUAAAGGGUGCGUAGGCGGCCUAUUAAGUCAGGGGUGAAAGACGGUAGCUCAACUAUCGCAGUGCCCUUGAUACUGAUGGGCUUGAAUGAACUAGAGGUAGGCGGAAUGUGACAAGUAGCGGUGAAAUGCAUAGAUAUGUCACAGAACACCAAUUGCGAAGGCAGCUUACUAUGGUUUGAUUGACACUGAGGCACGAAAGCGUGGGGAUCAAACAGG